AAGGGAAGUAGAUGUGGUUUU
rnacentral:sRNA from 1 species